rnacentral:lncRNA from 1 species
CGGGACCCCCGAGGUGGGGGGGACUCAGAGCCCAAAGACCCCCGGGACCCCUGAAAUGGGGAGGGCCAGGACCCCUGGGACCCCUGAGAUAGGGGGGACGAAGACCCCUGGGACCCCCGAAAUGGGGAGGGCCAGGACCCCUGAUUUGGGGGGGAAGAGGACCCCUGGGACCCCCGGGACCCCCAAAAUGGGGAGGGCCAGGAGCCCUGGGACCCCUGAGAUGGGGGGGACGAGGACCCCUGGGACCCCCGAAAUGGGGAGGGCAAAGACCCCCGGGACCCCAGAGCUGGGGGGAGGCAGGAGCUCUGAUAUUGGGGGGAUGAAGACCCCCACGACACCCGGGACCCCCGAAAUGGGGAAGGCCAGGACCCCUGAUUUGGAGGGGACGAGGACCCCUGGGACCCCUGGGACCCCCGAAAUGGGGAGGGCCAGGACCUCUGAGGUGGGGGGCAUGAAGACCCCUGGGACCACUGGGACCCCCGAAAUGGGGAGGGCCAGGACACUCAGGACCCCUGAUUUGGGGGGGAUGAGGACCCCUGGGACCCCCGGGACCCCCAAAAUGGGGAGGGCCAGGACCCCCGAGGUGGGGGGGACUCAGAGCCCCAAGACCCCCGGGACCCCCGAAAUGGGGAGGGCAAAGACCCCCGGGACCCCAGAACCAGGGGGGGCCAGGAGCUCUGAUAUUGGGGGGAUGAAGACCCCCACAUCACCCGGGACCCCCGAAAUGGGGAGGGUAAAGACCCCCAGGACCCCUGAGGUGGGGGGGACGAGGACCCCUGGGACCCCCGGGACCCCCGAAAUGGGGAGGGCCAGGAAUCCUGGGACCCCUGAUUUGGGGGGGACGAAGACCCCUGGGACCCCCGGGACCCCCGAAAUGGGGAGGGCAGAGACACCCAGGACCCCUGAUUUGGGGGGGACGAAGACCCCUGGGACCCCCGAAAUGGGGAGGGCCAGGAAUCCUGGGACCCCUGAUUUGGGGGGGACGAGGACCCCUGGGACCCCCGGGACCCCCGAAAUGGGGGGGGUGAGGACCCCCCAGAUCCCCGAGAGCCCUGAGAUUGGGCGAACCCGGACCCCUGGGACCCCCGGGACCCCCGGGACCCCCGAGCUGAGCCCCCGCGCUGGCACCCGCGGGUGGGGUGAGUAUGGGGAGGGUCUGUGGGGCGCUUGGGGGGGCGGGGGGGGCGGCUGUGGGGUGGUUGUGCGGAUCUGUGGGGCGGCUGUGGGGCACUUGGGGGGCUGAGGGGCAGUUA